UACGGAGGAUGCAAGCGUUAUCCGGAUUUAUUGGGUUUAAAGGGUGCGCAGGUUGUUUGAUAAGUCAGUGGUGAAAGUCUGUCGCUUAACGGUAGGAUUGCCAUUGAUACUGUUGGACUUGAAUAUGGAUGAGGUAGGCGGAAUGUGUAGUGUAGCGGUGAAAUGCAUAGAUAUUACACAGAACACCGAUUGCGAAGGCAGCUUACUAAUCCAUCAUUGACGCUGAGGCACGAAAGCGUGGGGACCAAACAGGA
rnacentral:rRNA from 1 species